GGUGGGGUUCGGGAGUGGUUUAACCGGCCUGUCUUGAAAACAGGUGAGGGUGUUUUGCCCUCCGUGAGUUCGAAUCUCACCCCCACCG
rnacentral:tRNA from 1 species